rnacentral:rRNA from 1 species
GGAUGCGAUCAUACCAUCACUAAAGCACCGGAUCCCAUCAGAACUCCGAAGUUAAGCGUGCUUGGGCGAGAGUAGUACUAGGAUGGGUGACCUCCUGGGAAGUCCUCGUGUUGCAUUCC